GUGACUCAACCUCUGCAGUUUCUCUUAUGCGAAGGUAUGCAUUGUUAAAGCGGAAGGGACCCAAAAGACCACAGUAUUUAAAGCCUAAAACCAGACACCCGUGAAACUACAUCCUCCCAGCUGCCUCAAGGCUGAGCACAAGAACCCGAAAAGCACCCAAUGCAAAUUCAUCGUGUGUUCUCCUGCAGAGACGCACUCUCUCCACCCUGGGCGGUAGGGACGGCGGGCAUUCGGUACUUCAGGCCCCUGCCACGGCUCUCAAACGGUGUUCCAGCACCUCACAGGCAGAUGCAGCAGGAAGGAGACAGGAAGGAGACAGCAGCAAGGGACCCACAGCCAGCAGACAGAAGAGAUGGAGCCCAGGCAGCCAGACCUGCUGGUGCACCUGGUCCAGAAACUAAGCUCACUGGGAAAAGCCUCCUGAAUCCCAAUCUCAGUAAAAAACAGACGCGUGGAUUCUAUCUCCUUUGCCUUGGAAAACACUGCUCUCCUUAAAUGGAACCAUGUCCCCCAAAGAUAAAAUUCUCUUUUCUCCCAAGAGAAACAAAGAAUGUUCAAGAAAUUUCAGUGCCUUUAUAGCAGCUCACUGCCUAUUCGCGGCACAUGCUGAGUUCUGAGGUAGACUGUCAUCAGCUAGGUGACUGAUUAGCCUUGUCACUUCUGCCUCUCAGUCCUCCAAAUAGCUUAGCCUGACCCCAACCUCCAAGUGGCAACAAAUUUCCCCUUCAGGAAUGCCAAAGACCUGGUAAAUGAGAGGUUACUUUUUCUGUUCAUUAAUAGAAGAGGGAAAUCCUGUCUUUAGCUGGAGCCACAGAAAAAUAUUUGGUGGGUCACCAGAAAACACAGAGAGGACAGUCGACGCCCUCAGAAGUCGUCCGACACACUGCGAGCAGCUGGCUCACAGGGAGCCCUGGGCAGAGCAGGGAGAGGACAAAGGUGCUCUUUCUCCAGCUCACUACAGAGAGGGGACGCGGGGAGGCCCCUGACCGUGUGACCGGGAGUCGGCACUCACUGGGAGGAAGUCUGGCUCUCACAGGAAGCUCCUGUGGUGACGAUGACAGAGGAUGGCUGCGACCCACCAGGUUGGCAGCUGGCGCCCUCAGGAACCAUCCGUGGUUCACCUCACUCUGACGACAGGCCGCGGCCUCAGCCUCCACUCUGAGGAGGAGCAGCCCCACCCCAGAUCUCCUAGGAGGGAAGAGGAGCUGAAGGUAGAAGCCAUCCACACCCAACAUGAAGCCGGCCACGCUGCAUGAUCAAGUUCCUAAGGGAAGGGAUUCGGGAUUCAAAGAGUUUUCAUGUUGGGUCUCACUAACUUACCCAGACCAACCUCGAACUGGCAAUCCUCCUGCCUCAGCCUCCAGAGUGGUCGGGAUUACAGGAAUACACCAAGUUACCUGGCUGAACCUUGGUCAACCUCACCUACUACUCACGAGUGAUGCUACUACCCAGGUGGCCGCUCCUCUCAGAGGCUGCAGAGUUUACAGUGCCAUGUCCUCAUGUAACAAGGACUGCUACCACUUCUCAGGUCUUUCUCUGGGCUGGCUAGAGGAGAAGGGCAGAGGCUGUCCUAGAAACACAGGUGAGUUUGAGCACCUAGAAAUGAGUGGCCGGAAAAGGGAGGGGGUGAGCCAAAGGGACCCAGAGAGUAGUAUCCACAGCGUGUUCCAAGGAUAAUGGAGAGACUGAGGGCUUGGAUGAGAAAACAGGUUUGCAGAAGAAAAAAUGGAAAGCAAGACAGGAAACACUAUUAUCUGCAUUUAUACAAAAGAAAAUAUGGAUCAUAUCACAUGCUGGAUUAAGUUACCAGAAAACCUGGAUAUCGUUUUCAUGUGACUUGGAGCAAGAAUACUAACUUUUCCUCCUUCUAUUUCCUUAUCUAUAAAACAGAGAUGAAGAUAUUAAGAAUACCAGGAGUGUAGCUCAGUGGUGGAGCCCUGGUUUACCACUCUCAAGGCCCUGCGUUUGGUCCCCAGAACUGGCGGGGGUGGGGAGGAAUAGUAGCAAUGAUGGCAUCAAUUUACAAGACAUCCCAAAUAAAUACUGGCCCAUCUCAUCCUCUACUCACCUUAGGGUUCACUUUCUCUUCGUAAUAGUUCCCAUGUCAAUUUAUUCCGUUUGUUCUGGUAGGAUUAGACAGUCCCCAGGGCAGCCCAUGGCCAUGGCCUUUAAAAGAUCAACUCAAGUUGACACCAGUGAAUCCCCCAAUGUCCAGGAGUGGGUGCCUGAGAGAGCAGGGCUGCUCCCAGGUAAGUCCACUCCACAAGGCCACGCCCUUCCUCCCAGGACAGGAUCCUGGAGCAGCUGGCCCCCACUCCGCCGAUGGCCAGCCAACUCCCCACUGUCCUCGAGGUGUCCCAGCCAGGAGGGCCUGGGCUUCCCAGGAAAGACGCAGCCAAAGCUCCUAUUCCCGACCUUGGCACUCGGCCAGCACCCCCACAGAAGGGAAGACUCCCCUCUGCUCUCUCCUUCAGAGGGUCUUCAAGGCACAUCAAGCCCUGGCCCCAGAGAAGGGCACAUCUGUGGCCCACAUUGUGGCGUCCACUUCCAGAUCAUUUCUGUGACUUUGGAAAAGCCACGCUUGCAUCUGGGAUUGUGAUUCUAAGUUGCUGGAGAAAGGCAGUUGUUACAUAUUGUUUAAAAUUUGUUUGAUAAAAGGGAAUUUCUUCGAAAACAUCAGACCAAGCGAGUGAUGUAAAUUUACUGUCUAUAAAUUUACAAUGUAGCAAGGGAAA